rnacentral:pre_miRNA from 1 species
UGUUGAUGACGAUGUGAUGAUGAUGAUGAUGAUGGUGGUGGUGAUGAUGAUGAUCACCGUCAUCCUCAUCGCAAUCUUCGUGGUUGACAUCUUCGCCAUCAUCAUCAUCAUCAUCAUCAUCAUCAUGG